UGUGCAAUUGCUGGGUCAUAUUGUAAGAGUAUGUUUAAUUUUGUAAGAAACUGCCAAACUCCCUUCCACAGUGACUAUGCCGUUUUUCAUUCCCACCAGCAAU
rnacentral:pre_miRNA from 1 species